AAUAAACUGAUGAAUAAGAAUAGUAUUCUAGAAUUAUAUGUUUUUUAGAGAGUCGCAGCUUGGGUGAAAUGCGAUAACAUUUAUCUAGAUGAAUGGACUUAUGAAGGCAGUCUGAAAGGAUCUUUUCCAAGUAGGCACUGACGGAAACUCUACCCGUUAUAAAUUGAGCAUAUAUUAUCAUGUAUAUGAAAAGAGUGGGUAAUUUUUUACCAAUUUGGGUGGUAUCGCAGGAGUAUGAGCUCUUGUCCCUUUU
rnacentral:ncRNA from 1 species